rnacentral:rRNA from 1 species
ACGUCUCAUCGUGAAUCAUCGAAUCUUUGAACGCAACUUGCACUCUUUCUGUGAAAGAGUAUGCCUAUUUGAGUGUUGGUUAGCCACCUCGCUGCAGCGCAUGCUGCGGCGGAUUUGGGCGGUUCCCGGCCACACAGCCAGGACCGCUUGGAAUGCGCUGAUCUCGGAGGGCGCGCAUUGGCCCGGGUUGUCUCAAACCCAGGCCGCACGCUUUGAUCCCUGACGUAGUAGGUGUGUCCAGCCCCGGCUGGCAAGCAGCAUUCGUCAGCGCGCGCCUAGUUGCCGCGAACCGGAUCUCUGCCGUGAGCAGUCAGUCCCCGGGUCACAAGUAAUUACAUCUUUAUUACCCAACCUCAAAUUAGGUAGGACCACCCGCUGAAUUUAAGCAUAUCAAUAAGCGGAGG